AGCUCACGACUGCCCUUUCCGAGGACACUUACGGAUGCCCCAGUAUCCAGGAGUCCGGAAAUCUUCCGUCCUAGGAUUUGCACCUUGGCAAAAACCCUUGGGUCACGUCCUGCUCCACGCCUGACUGCUUCAGCCACCUCCUUGCGAGUCUGUCUCCUUUGCCGGAAGCGUGCCCGGGCCUUCUGGAGUCUACGGCUGACACCUCGCAUUCCACUCAGCUGAUGUCCGUCAAAGAUCCGAUUUCGGACUUGGGUAUAUCUCCUCAUCCUCUCUUCGGCCGUGCAUCCUUCACUUUCUCGCGGGCCUUCGUCCCGAGCUCUGAUGUCCCGCCUUUAUCAAGCCCGUUCUUGCGUUUCCCGAACAGUUGGGACACUUCGGCGUGUACGUUUCGGGCUUUCCGCAGAGGUAACAGAAUACUCUGCGUUCCUUUGCCAUACACUCUCGGAACCCGUGAUCAACUUCUCCGCAAUUCCAGCAACCCAGCCUCGGCUUCGCUGUCAGAUAACUACCUAACUCCAACAAAACUCAACACAAAAAAAACAAAUAAAAAAACUGCAAGAUCAACCACAAGAGGGGAAAGUAACCACAACUGCUACUGGAGCCAUCUGCACUUGGUUCCCUACGUCUUUGCUUGUCCAACGUCUACCUUCUUAGUCGCGAGCGCUGUUGACUUCUCAUCUUCUACAGAAGAUUAAGUGUCAAGGGCGCUCACUCUUCUACCUAGCUGCUUCUGUCCCACUACUCUACUGAAGGAUAUCCUCGGGAUCCUGUAGCUGCUCCAGGUGCAUCGCGUGACCGACUAAAUGUCCCCACGGGCCACCUACAGCAAAAAUCUCUACGAGAUACUACCUUCCCGCCUCCUCCAGCGGCUCUCUUUCGUCCACCAGGCAACGGGUCGGUUGCUAACUGGCUUGAGGAUUAUCCUCCGUCAGUGCCAACCUCACCCCCUUGAGAGCUCCGGCUUCCCUCUGUCAGAUAAGUUUAAACACAAACUACAAAAAACAAUUUACUUUGUGGAUUCCUACAUUUUCAGAUCCCUCAGUGCCGUGCAUCUGCGAGCCAACCUUCACAGCUCCUCCCAGGCCACCGGUACAC